GACGCACCGUGCGAACGUUGUUCGGAAUCACUGGGCUUAAAGGGCGCGUAGGCGGGCUGCCAAGUCAGUGGUGAAAUCUUUCAGCUCAACUGGAAAAGUGCCGCUGAUACUGGCAGUCUCGAGGGAGGUAGGGGUCGAUGGAACUAAUGGUGGAGCGGUGAAAUGCGUAGAUAUCAUUAGGAACGCCGGUGGCGAAAGCGAUCGACUGGACCUCUUCUGACGCUGAGGCGCGAAAGCCAGGGGAGCAAACGGG
rnacentral:rRNA from 1 species